rnacentral:rRNA from 1 species
UAACUGAAGAGUUUGAUCAUGGCUCAGAUUGAACGCUGGCGGCAGGCUUAACACAUGCAAGUCGAGCGGGGGAAGGUAGCUUGCUACUGGACCUAGCGGCGGACGGGUGAGUAAUGCUUAGGAAUCUGCCUAUUAGUGGGGGACAACAUCUCGAAAGGGAUGCUAAUACCGCAUAC